GAUGAACGCUGGCGGCGUGCCUAAUACAUGCAAGUCGAGCGAACGGACGAGGAGCUUGCUUCUCUGAUGUUAGCGGCGGACGGGUGAGUAACACGUGGAUAACCUACCUAUAAGACUGGGAUAACUUCGGGAAACCGGAGCUAAUACCGGAUAAUAUUUUGAACCGCAUGGUUCAAAAGUGAAAGACGGUUUUGCUGUCACUUAUACAUGGAUCCGCGCCGCAUUAGCUAGUUGGUAAGGUAACGGCUUACCAAGGCAACGAUGCAUAGCCGACCUGAGAGGGUGAUCGGCCACACUGGAACUGAGACACGGUCCAGACUCCUACGGGAGGCAGCAGUAGGGAAUCUUCCGCAAUGGGCGAAAGCCUGACGGAGCAACGCCGCGUGAGUGAUGAAGGUCUUCGGAUCGUAAAACUCUGUUAUUAGGGAAGAACAUAUGUGUAAGUAACUGUGCACAUCUUGACGGUACCUAAUCAGAAAGCCACGGCUAACUACGUG
rnacentral:rRNA from 1 species